GCCAGCAGCCAUAUCACCCUGCAACUCACAACUGGUAACCCACUGAAGCUAAGCAGGUGUGAGCCUGGUCAGUACCUGGAUGUAAGACCUCCUGGGAAAAACUAAGGUUGCUGCUGGAA
rfam:Lepisosteus oculatus linkage group LG1, whole genome shotgun sequence.